UGGGGAAUAUUGGACAGUGGGGGCAACCCUGAUCCAGCAAUGCCGCGUGUGUGAAGAAGGCCUGCGGGUUGUAAAGCACUUUCAGUAGAGAAGAAAAGCUCAUGGUUAAUACCCGUGAGUCUUGACGUAACCUACAGAAGAAGCACCGGCUAACUCCGUGCCAGCAGCCGCGGUGAUACAGAGGGUGCAAACGUUGCUCGGAAUGACUGGGCGUAAAGCGCGCGCAGGUGGCCCGUUAAGUCGGCUGUGAAAUCCCCUGGCUCAACCAGGGAAGUGCAGUCGAUACUGGCGGGCUCGAGUCCCGGAGAGGGUGGUAGAAUUCCCAGUGUAGAGGUGAAAUUCGUAGAUAUUGGGAGGAAUACCGGUGGCGAAGGCGACCACCUGGACGGGUACUGACACUGAGGCGCGAAAGCGUGGGGAGCAAACAGGAUUAGAUACCCCCGUAGUCC
rnacentral:rRNA from 1 species